GGGCAGUUAGCUCAGCGGUAGAGCGGCACGUUUACACCGUGUUGGUCGGGGGUUCGAUCCCCUCACUGCCCACCA
rnacentral:tRNA from 1 species